rnacentral:lncRNA from 1 species
UCUGUUUAAUUCACUUGUAAUUUCUAAAUUACUUAAAAUAUGAAAUAAAAAUAGAUAUUGACCUUGAUAUAAAAAACAGAAAGAGUAAAAGAAAGUUAAUACCAGUAGUUAACGCUGUUUAAAAGUCAUAAAUCGAUUACGAGAACAAAUCCCGUUUACAAACUAAAACCAAAGAAAACACAUCCUCAAUUGUAAGAGGAAAGCAAAGGAACAAACACAAACAUACAUAGAACAAACACUAGAUCAAAUUAUCUACCAUAUUCCUCACUUGGUACAGGAUAUUUUAAGAAAAAUGGUGCGUUAAACCCGGAUUCAAGACUAACCAAACUAUAUUCUUUCCAAGAGUGUCAUGUGUAUUAUCUCUUCCGAAUGACGUUAUCCUAAUCCAUUGAUGCACCCAUACCCGGAUGAUACUAUUGUAAAAGGUAUGUUGUAAAUCUUAUUAGUACCGAGGUAAUAACUACAGAACAAUUAAAUAUGUUUUAUAUAUAUGAAUAAAAAAAGAAGCUUUAAACAUAAUAAAGGAACUUAACCAUGAUUAAAAUAAGAAUUAUAUCGAUGAGAUUUCAGCGGUGACUCGUAAAAUCCGACAAUAGACAUCUAAAUGACACUUUGAUAAAAAACGGCCGGUUUUUGUAAAUAUAAAUGUUUAUAGAUAUAAGAUGAUGUGGUUUGAGUUGCAAUGAGAAAACACUCCAUCCGAGUCACAAUUUGUAAAAGUAAACCAUAAUUGGCCAAAACACGGUCGUCAUAACGGAGCAUUGACUCGCAUCGAAUAGCAAGCUAUUAAACUUCAAAUCUACUACUGUAAAACCAUCCAAACAAGAAAAAAACUACAGUCUAAUUUGUUUUUAAAAAAAAACCAAAAAACAGAAACAACAUAAUCAAACAACAACCACUGAUCAUCAGGUUCCUGACUUAGAACAGGUGUUAACACAUGCAGUAGGUUAUUACGUUAUAAUCGGUGCCAACCGUCAACUGACCUGAAACAAUAGUGUAACAUUAAAAUAUAGAAAGGCACACUUUAAAAUAUCAAUUGACAUGGCUUAUCUUAAUCAAAAGAUAUAUUACCAAAUAAUUUCCAAAGGUAAUAGGCUUAUACUUUAAUACGCCGGAAGCGCUUUUCGUCUACAUUAGAUUUAUUAGUGACGCUCAGAUCAAAAUAGUUAUAAAGCCAAAAAAGUACAAAGUGGAAGAGCAUAAGAAAGUGAACAUACACUGAAAAACAAAAUUUGAUCUUUGGUACAAUUUAAAUACAACAUUUUAUAUAAUUGUUUAUUUUCUAAGAGCACUUAUAUAUUCAGAUAAAAUACAGGUGAUUUCCUUUGCAAGUAGUAAAUUCCUUGGAGUAAUAGUACGGAAAAAUAUUUGAAAUCUUUCAAAAGCUAUUUUGUUUAUUACGUAUGACGUAACUGUUCCCUUUUGGAAAAACAAGCAAUACAGCUAUCUUUCCUUUCCUAAUUUCACAGAUGCAACAACACAUGCUACUUGAAUAGGUUGCCUCCAUUAUAUAUAUAAAUAUAUGUUAACCAACAAAUGACGUUUUGAUAAAACAUGAAAUCCUUUUUAGUUGAAACUUUAUCAACAAGCUGAUUCAUAACUGUAAGAAAAUAUUGUUAGAAGAACUUUACGUGAUAUCCCUCUUCACUGUAUUCAUCCUGUGUAAAGGUAAGUAAAUAUUCUAAAGUAGAAGGCUACGCAAUAUUAUGUAACUUCAUUUUUCAUUCUUAUCAUAUUAUGAACAAAUAACACUAAUUUGAAAAUGUACAACUUUUCAAUCUUCAAAAAACUUGUAAUACCAAAGUAUAGUUAUCAUAACAUUUCAUACCGAGUGUCAUUAUUAAUUCAAAUAUAAAGAUAAACAUUCAUGCAUGGUGAGUUUACUACCAACCACUGGGUCGAUGCCACGGCUAUUGAAGGAAUCUCCCCGCGGUAUCAACACCUAGUAGUCAGCACGUUCUGUGUUAAUAUAUGGUCUUUAUUGUAAAUGAACUUUUCAGAAAAAAAUGAAUAUUCGAAAUAGUAUAGUAUACUUGAGCUAUAUUUUGACAAAACCUUUCAGAUUUUUGGAUGCUCAAUGCUCUUCACCUUUACUUUGAGUGUCACUGAUGAGUCAUUUUUAGAUGAAACGCGCUACUGGCAUACACAAUUUAAUCAUUGUAUAUAUGAUGAAUUAAAUAACAUAAAAUCGUUGUACCAAAGUGACAUUAAAUCUGUGGGACCAAUUCUAGUCGGAUCCUUUUAUACCUGCAUAUACUACUUGAGCAAUCGUGGUAUUAUCUAGUACUUUAUUAUUACUUUACAUGAAACAGGAUCUCCUCACCCAUCAAUAGCUGCUUGCUUCACCCUAGUUUUUGGUGGGGUUCGUGUUACUAAGUCAUUUGUUUUUUAUGUUGUGUUUUGAGAACUAUUGUUUGUAUUUUUCUAUUAUAUACGUUGUCAGUUUGUUUUAUUCUUAUGAGCUUGAAUGUCCCUUUUGUAUCUUGUCCUUUCUUAUAUUCUCAUUAUUUUAUUUGUACCAUAUUUGAAGAUUUACUAUAAUGAUUACAUAUAUUAAUAUUUUUCAGGAGUAUCCUGUUGACUGCUGAACAAAGAACCUGUCUCAUGUCUAGAAAAAAUUGAAAACAAUCAUCUCCAAGAUAAUGCACAUUUUAUUCAGACAAACCAUAGGCUGUCUUGGUUCAUAGAUAAUGUGGUUGUCACAUCAGUUGUAAAAUGACAAUUUUUAAAAGAAAUUGUGAAUUUUUAUAGAUAAAUAGCAUAAAGUGAAAUGUAAAAUAGAGACGGAGGUAGCAUUAGAUACUUAAUAUAGUCUUGAAUGUUGGAAUCGCAUCCACCAAAAAACUUUUUUAAUUCUAGUAUUAUGAAAUGAUUUCAUGUUGUCAUUAGAGUAGUUUCAUACAGGUGAUAGUUAUAACAUAUAGAGAAGGGAGGGAUAGUACAUAAUUUCAGUAAAAGUGUCAAAUCUCGGAAGUUGAAAAUAUACCUCAUGUCCCUAUGUUUUGACCUUUGAAAAAAUAGCAGUGCGUAUGAAUUUUUCAUCCUAGGAAAAACAUUUCUUUUACAAAACCGUUCAUAAUAAAAGUGGC